UAAUCUCACCCCAGAUUGUUUUUCUGGGUGUGGACUUGGAUGUUGCCGUGCAUGUCAUGACUCAUCUGGAAUGCAUCAGUGUACCCUGCCCAUUGGCAUAGACAGUGUGAUAAGUAUCUUCACUGGUCGACAGCCUUCUUGGAGGCAUGCUUUUUUGGACAGGCCCUGUGCUGCUAACUGUCUUUGGACACUCUUCUGACA
rnacentral:misc_RNA from 1 species